CUUGGGUUGGUUUUGGGGGGAGCUAUCUGUGCCUACUGGAUCUAGAUUUCUGUCUCCUUUCCCAGAUUCAGGAAGUUUUCAGCUAUUAUUUCUUCAGAUACAUUUUUUGUUCCUUUUCCUCUCUCUUCUUUUUAUGAGAUCCCUAUAAUAUUGAUGUUACUGUGCUUGAUGGUGUCACUGAGUUCUAUAAGUCUAUUUUUGCUUUUUAUUAUUUUUUUUGCUCUCUUAUUCAGCUUGAUUGCUUUCAUUACUCUAUCCUCCAGGUUGCUAAUUAGUUAUUCUGUAUUCUCUAGUCUACUAUUUAUCCCAAUCUAAGCUAUUUUAAUUUUACUUAUUGAGUUCUUCAUCUCUGGUUGGAUCUUUUUUAAAAUAUAUUUUCUAUGUCUUUAUUAAGAGUCUCAUUGAGGCCUUUCACUGUUGUCUCAAGUCCAGUGAGUAUCUUUAUGACCAUUACUGUAAAUUCUCUGAGUCAUAUUACUUAUUUCUGUUUAAUUUAGCUCCCUUGUUGUGAUUUUGUCCUGUUCUUUCAUUUGGGACAUAUUCCUCUGUCUCCUCAUUUUGUCUAACUCUGUGGCUGUUUCUAUGUAAUAGGGAAUUCAGCUACGUCUCCUGCUUUUGAAUGUAAUGACAUUAUGAAGAAGAGGUCCUGUAGUGCCCUGCAUUGCAAUGUCUUCUGUUCACUAGAACCUGGCACUUCAGGGACAAGAAAGUAAAAAGACAGCAGUAGAAUCCGCAAGCCUUAAUGCCAAGUCAUGAUACCAACUCAUAAAGGUUGCCUUCUCUACCUUCUACUCCAGGCAACAACAGUAACAAUAGGAGGUGAAGUGAAUGCUUUGUGAUAUACCACCAGGCCCCAGCCAGAAUCCUCUUCAGGGCUGAAGGACUUACUUAUCCAGCUCUUGCGAAUUCAUUGGGUGGCCACCCUGCCAGGCUCCAUCCUAGGUGAAUGAUAGGAUUGAACUUGACAGCUACCUUUAAAUGUGACUUGCUACAUAGCCAGUGGUAUGGGAGAAGUGAGACAUACCAUUUUUAAAAAAUGUCCUAGCAUUUUAAAGUACCUAAGACAGUAUUUUCAUCUUAAAGUCUUUACACAGGAUUUUAUUUCCAAUACCUCUUUUAUACAUUGCCAAUAUCCGGUAACUCAAAGCAACACCGUUGUAGCCUACAUGAAAGCAAAGGAGAAUAUAGCCCCAGAAAGCUGACGGUGACAGUAGAAGAAUGGUAGCAGUUGGGUGUUGCUGCAGUCCUGAAAAUUCUUGAUAGGAUCUCCUUCCCCACAGGUCAAAGGACUGGAAGUACAGAAGAGGUGGAAAUUUCAUUUCCUCUAUUCCACAUCUGGCUUUGGAGACAUGAAGUAGCUAUCAAAAUUAGUAUUCUUUACAGUAGAAAAUGAUUGCUAUGAUCUUAAUCAGUGACUUUUUUGAAGAAUGAGAGUGAUGUGAAGCAGCUUUUGAAAGGAUUAUCAAGUGGAACUGAAGGCUCACCCUGGUAAGGUUGGAGACCAAGGAAUAGAAUGGCAUAAAUCUACAUGUUCCUUGAUUUUGUUUAUCACAGCUUAGCAUCCCAAAUGUAGGGGCAGAGAAAGUGGAGUUUUUCCUGUUUUAAGUGUAAAGGUCUAUGGAAUGGAAGUAGCAAAAUUACCACAUUUUAUGGUUCUUAUUAGAUUAGCUAAGAGAUCUUGGUUUCUAGGACCUAUAGCAAGAGAACUAAAGCCAUUCAGAGAUAAAAUAAAAGAAGGAAGGACUGAAGGAAGUAGAUAUUCAAUAAUUUCUGAUAACCUAUAACUUGCAGUAAGGAAGUAGGGGGGGAAGAACAUGAAGUUGAGGCACAGAAUCAUAUGUUAGGGUGUACGUUUGCAGAAUGAAGAUACAUGUACAUGCAAAUCUACGAAUUAACUAUGGGAAGAACUUACUGAAGUAGAGUGGGUAUGACAUUUUAAGCAGAAUUUCCUGAAAAUCUCUGGAGCCCAUCCAGCAAGAAAAGUGCAUUUGUUAAACAUGAGCACCUGGGAAUUGCUGAUGAUGACUUAAAUUUAGUUUCUUUUGUAUCCCCAAUAUGUGAGAGUGCUUGGCCAGUAUCACAGACUUGAAUUUUAUUGCAUGUAUUUAUGUUAACUGUCCCCCCUGUAUCCUAGGUUGAUGAUCUUAAAGGGAUUCUAAAACUGUGAGUGUAAAUCUAGAGGAACAGAAAUAACUCUGUGAAUGAGCUUCAUUGAACAAGUUCUCAUGGGAAAGUUUCCAUUUCUAAGCUAAAGGUUUCACUGAGAAUUCAACUAUCUUUGUAUUCCAAGUCAGACUGCAAAGCCACGGUUUGCUUUUUUUUUUUUUUUUUUUUAUGUGAAACUGAAAAGGUCAACUUGGGGCAGUUUGUAUAACAAAAAGAUAUAAAGUAUAAAUGACUAAAACAUUUAUUAAUCAUGGAACAUGUUUUAGCUUUAGUAUUUUUUCUUUAAUAGAGUCCUAUUUCAGGCCUAAAAUGGACCAAAUUUUGAAUAUAUUUUUAUCUUAAUCACCUUAGUUAAAAUUAAAAUAUGAGAAAGAUUAUUUGUGUUUGAACUGGGCCUUUGAAAUUAAGAAUGCUUUGCAUGGAAGAAUUAUUCUUGUUUUUUUUUUUUUUUUUUUGAUGUUUUCUUGGGUCUCUCAAAGAUGAUUCCUAAUGAAUUGCCAGAUGUAGGUUUGAGACUAGAAUUUAUAGACCACAGUUAUUCAUUCUAGUCAAAUGCCACAGACAAGAACAGCAACAAAUCAAAGUUAAUUCGUAAUUGAAACCGACUAUUACUAAAAGCAAUUUAGCUUUAAAGAACCUUGACAUGUUGAAAAGAUGAAUUACUUGCUGCAGCUUUGUUAUUUAAAAUUAUUUUUAAUCAUUUAAUAGGAGAGAAGUCUAAACUUAGGAAGGCCAGACAGGAGUGGAAUCUAUUUCAUGUUCUUUUUAAAACUCAGAGGAUAAAAUACCUUUUGAAGAUAAAUUAAAAUGUUUUUCAAGGAAUCGUAACAGGGUUAAGUAAAGUUUUAGGGAAUUUCUGUGUUGCAAAUGGUAAUAUAAUUUAAUGCAAAACUUUAUACAGCUCAUAAUUAAGCUCAUAAUUUUGCUAAUAGCUUUAUGUUUUACAAAUACACAAUCCCACUCAACUUAAUUUAUACUCAUUGCUAUACCUGCGUGACAUUUAAUUCUAUUUAACUUCAGCAUGUUAGUUGGAGUGAACCUUUCUCUACUAAUGUUAGUCUGGGCAACAGGUUAUUUCUGGGUUUUGUUUUUGUUUUUGUGUUUUAAGUGGCAGAAUAGCCUAGAUGAAUAUCUCUAAAGUCAAGGUCUAAUAAGUUAGGAAUAAUGACUCUUCUUGACUUGUCUCAUGUGGUCAUUUAUAUGGAACUUGCAUAUAACCGUUUUCUCCCUCAAGGAAGUCUCAUUUAAUACCUGCGUUUAUAUUGGCCCCCACUGCUUUUCUUGUAUUGAUACUGCUCUACUUGUCCAGCAGAAGAAAACACAAGUAGCAACUAUAAGAUGUCCAGGUUAAUAAUUGAAUAGAACAGAGAUAUUCUGUAGCAACAAUGAAUGGGUAAGAAGAAAAAGAGUCUUGAUUAUUGAAGAGCUUGAUCAUUUUGAUUAAAACUCUUAAUACAUACAUUUAGUAGAUUCUGAGAAAAUUUCACAAUAGAAAUACAUAUCUAACCUAUGAAAGUGCUUCUGUGUUUUCACAUGGAACCAUUAAGUUUGGGAAUAACAAAAGAAAUGAAGCUUUUAAAAAUUUUAUUGAAAGCAUUAUUGCAGUUUUUAUCUGCAAGUCCCCAGAUAGAUUGAAGGCCACAGUUUUAAUGGAAAUUUCAUGAAGUGGAAAGUGAAAAGAGUUGAGAACUACAAUGAUGAUAGAUAUAAAACAAUGACAGGCAAAUUGGUUGGUAAUUAAAGCAUCCAUGUUUGUAGAUAAUAUUUGGCAUGUCAAAUUGAAUGUCAGUAUUUGAGAUUAGAAAUCUAAAUAUCCAUCACCAUAGGUUGAAAUUAAAAUCAAGAUAAAAAAUGAAAAAGGGAAAGGAAAUACCACACAAGAGGCAAGAAUAUGUAAGAUCAAAUCUCAAAUGUAUCAUAUUUAGUACACAAAGGGAAAGUUAAAUCAGUGGACAAAAUCCAAGUGCUGAUACUUGUUCCAAAACAUGGUGUUUGAAUAUUCAGCUAAAUUGUUAGAUGGAACAGGAUAUAGAAGAUCUAUUUUAUUUUUAGCUAUAUAGUGCAUUGGUUCUCAAUCUUUGGGGUGAUAUAUUAUUUAUGUUUGAGAGAGAGAGAGAAAGCAAGCAGGAG